rnacentral:lncRNA from 1 species
UUCAUAUAGUGAAAAUUCUGACUCCGCCAUUGCUAACUUAUACAUGCAAAUUAGCAGAUAAAUCACUAAUCACAUUUUUCCUAUGCAACAAAAAUAGACAAAGGAUAACAAUCUAUAGAUGCCAGAGUCCUCUGCCAUUUGAUGUUGUUUCUGCCAUUGAUGUUAAGCACUUUCUCUGCAGAUCUAAUCAGGAAGGAACUGUGUAUGUUGAAAUCUGAGUAGGUCCCUCCUCUCCAAAUCAUGGCCACUAGCAUGCCGAAAAUGCAGCACAUAAUAGAGCUGUGGCCUGAUUCCUUUAGCAGAUGCACAAAUCUGAGUGAGUA